rnacentral:rRNA from 1 species
GACAGCAGUCGCCGCGGUAAUACGGAGGGUGCAAGCGUUAAUCGGAAUUACUGGGCGUAAAGCGCACGCAGGCGGUCUGACAAGUCAGAUGUGAAAUCCCCGGGCUUAACCUGGGAACUGCAUUUGAAACUGUCAGGCUGGAGUCUUGUAGAGGGGGGUGGAAUUCCAGGUGUAGCGGUGAAAUGCGUAGAGAUCUGGAGGAAUACCGGUGGCGAAGGCGGCCCCCUGGACAAAGACUGACGCUCAGGUGCGAAAGCGUGGGGAGCAAACAGGAUUAGAUACCCCUGUAGUCCCUGUCUCUUAUAC